rnacentral:rRNA from 1 species
CGGUAACAGGGAGCUUGCUCCGCUGACGAGUGGCGAACGGGUGAGUAAUGCAUCGGAACGUACCGUGUAGUGGGGGAUAACGUAGCGAAAGUUACGCUAAUACCGCAUACGCCCUGAGGGGGAAAGUGGGGGACCGCAAGGCCUCACGCUAUAUGAGCGGCCGAUGUCGGAUUAGCUAGUUGGUAGGGUAAAGGCCUACCAAGGCGACGAUCCGUAGCGGGUCUGAGAGGAUGAUCCGCCACACUGGGACUGAGACACGGCCCAGACUCCUACGGGAGGCAGCAGUGGGGAAUUUUGGACAAUGGGCGCAAGCCUGAUCCAGCCAUGCCGCGUGAGUGAAGAAGGCCUUCGGGUUGUAAAGCUCUUUCAGGCGGAAAGAAAUCUCUCGGGAUAAUACCCUGGGAGGAUGACGGUACCGUAAGAAGAAGCACCGGCUAACUACGUGCCAGCAGCCGCGGUAAUACGUAUGGUGCGAGCGUUAAUCGGAAUUACUGGGCGUAAAGCGUGCGCAGGCGGUGAUGUAAGACAGAUGUGAAAUCCCCGGGCUCAACCUGGGAACUGCGUUUGUGACUGCAUCACUCGAGUAC